AGCAAAGUGAUGAGUUUUGAAUAUCUGAAUAUGAUGUGGAUUCCUUAUUUCAAAUGGUCUUCAAAGUUCUCUGAUUGCU
rfam:Cajanus cajan Scaffold132221_8, whole genome shotgun sequence.